rnacentral:misc_RNA from 1 species
GAUGAAGAACGCAGUGAAAUGCGAUAAGUAUUGUGAAUUGCAGAAUUCAGUGAAUCAUCGAAUCUUUGAACGCACAUUGCGCCCGCCAGUAUUCUGGCGGGCAUGCCUGUCUGAGCGUCAUUUCAACCCUCAUGCCCCUAGGGCGUGGUGUUGGGGAUCGGCCAAAGCCCGCGAGGGACGGCCGGCCCCUAAAUCUAGUGGCGGACCCGUCGUGGCCUCCUCUGCGAAGUAGUGAUAUUCCGCAUCGGAGAGCGAUGAGCCCCUGCCGUUAAACCCCCAACUUUCCAAGGUUGACCUCAGAUCAGGUAGGAAUACCCGCUGAACUUAAGCAUAUCAAUAAGCGGAGGA